GAUGAACGCUGGCGGCGUGCCUAAUACAUGCAAGUCGAGCGAACGGACGAGAAGCUUGCUUCUCUGAUGUUAGCGGCGGACGGGUGAGUAACACGUGGAUAACCUACCUAUAAGACUGGGAUAACUUCGGGAAACCGGAGCUAAUACCGGAUAAUAUUUUGAACCGCAUGGUUCAAAAGUGAAAGACGGUCUUGCUGUCACUUAUAGAUGGAUCCGCGCUGCAUUAGCUAGUUGGUAAGGUAACGGCUUACCAAGGCAACGAUGCAUAGCCGACCUGAGAGGGUGAUCGGCCACACUGGAACUGAGACACGGUCCAGACUCCUACGGGAGGCAGCAGUAGGGAAUCUUCCGCAAUGGGCGAAAGCCUGACGGAGCAACGCCGCGUGAGUGAUGAAGGUCUUCGGAUCGUAAAACUCUGUUAGUUGGGAAGAACAUAUGUGUAAGUAACUGUGCACAUCUUGACGGUACCUAAUCAGAAAGCAACGGCUAACUACGUG
rnacentral:rRNA from 1 species